GACGGUAGCUAUUGGAGAUGUUGGAAGGGGUGGGGAUGAGGAACUGAUACGGUUGUGUCCUCUUUUCCGGUUGGGGGUUAGCGGACUAGCGUCAGGGCGACUAUGUUUUUACCAAGCGCGACGUUUUGUCUAGCAAUCUAGGGUGUUGGCCUAGGCACAGCACGGUAUGGAGCCAUGCCAUGGUUGGACCGGGGGAAAAGGUCACGCGGUGCUUUGUGCCCAACUAUCGGGCCUCGGGCUUUUUGGCCAUCUAUAGCUAAAACUAGCUAGGUUAGCCUCGGAUUUGGAGAUAUUUUUCAUGAAUAGGGUUAAUGUAUUGCUCGUAGGUAUGGACAUCAACACAAUUUUUAUAGUAUUACACAAAAAUUACUGUAUAUAAUUUUAAAUGGAAACAGUAAAUCUAGUAACAUAAGCCAAUGUUAUCAAGCAAAAUGACUUUAUAGUUAUUGAUGGUCAAAGCUAAAUAAGGCCUAACUUAUGGCAAAGUUAAAUGCACUCCAUUUUGGAUGGGAGGGUGUAUGUGAAUGAAUAUGGGUAAGACAGCGAGGCCAUCACAGAUCUAUUUUUUUUUACAUGUUCAUAACACAAGAUUGACUCUACUAUGUUCAUUAAGAGCUACUUUAUAAUAUGUUUAACUUUUUCUAUAUCUAAAAUAAUAAGCUUUUCCAUCUAACUUGCUAGACGGCAAGCUGACAAUUUCCUAUUAAAGUACAUAUUUAUCUUUUAUUUUCUGUUAUCUUCUUUUUGAAAACUGAAGUCAAUAGUUAUAGAAUAAAUUCCCUGUUGGAUUAGCUUUAUUUUGCAGUUUAGGCAUGUUCAGUCAAUAGAGCAUGCUUCUAUUGCACAUGUCAAAAGAUUGAGGAAGGCCAACCUAGGACAAUGCGUGAUCAUUGGAGUCGAAUUCGGUGCUGGUCUUGUGGUCCCACGAGGAGGAUUUGUAAAGAAUCGAUCAUAGUGUGUGCGAGCAUGUGUAAUCAUCAUGAGGCUGGUGAGGACCUGAAGAAGGCUGGUGUGUUGGCUGACCAAAUUUCCAAGCUUGUUAAAGAAUCCCCAACGGCUGGUGAGGACCUGAAGAAGGCUGGUGUGUUGGCUGACCAAAUUUCCAAGCUUGUUAAAGAAUCCCCAAUGGUUUCAAAAGUCAUGACCCUUGACGAGUUUAACUACCAUAAACUCUUAUCUAGGGUUUCCAAGCUUGAGACAACCUCAGGAGUAAAUCAUACUUUUACAAUACUAAGUGUUAGCAUCUUUGGUGGUUGGGUGCUCGGCUGCUCGCCAUGUACACUGAUAUCCUGGAAACCAAAGUGACUAUGGAUGGUUUUAAGGAAACAUCUACCUCUGAAUUCAAGAUGAUGAAAAAGAAAGUCUUACUAAUGGAAUCUCUUCUCUCUGAUAGGGAACAGAAGCUUUGUUGCCCUUUCUGCGGGGAGGCCGUCUUGAAGUGUCACAACAUGGAUGGAUUGGAGGAAAUAGAUGCUGCAGAUCCUUCUGGUCAGGCUGAAGGUUGGUCAUCCUGGUUGUGGAAGAAGAUUUGUAAGUGGUGAUUUGAUUACUUGGAAUGAUGAAGAUUCAAGUCGAAGUUGGAUUACUUGGAGAGAUGAAGAUUCAAGUCGAAGUUCCCAUGAGAUGAUGAGAGCCUACCCUGUUACUGUUACUUAGUAGUUUAAUUGCACUUUGGUACUUUGGUGUAAUUCGCUUUCUCACGUGGCGAAUGAAAAAAAAAGGAUUUCUGAGGGCUUU